UUACAAGAACGCCCGGGCUUCGGCCUGGUUAUUCAUAACCCUUUGUUGUCCGACUCUGUUGCCUCCGGGGCGACCCUGCCUUCGGGCGGGGGCUCCGGGUGGACACUUCAAACUCUUGCGUAACUUUGCAGUCUGAGUAAACUUAAUUAAUAAAUUAAAACUUUUAACAACGGAUCUCUUGGUUCUGGCAUCGAUGAAGAACGCAGCGAAAUGCGAUAAGUAAUGUGAAUUGCAGAAUUCAGUGAAUCAUCGAAUCUUUGAACGCACAUUGCGCCCCCUGGUAUUCCGGGGGGCAUGCCUGUUCGAGCGUCAUUUCACCACUCAAGCCUCGCUUGGUAUUGGGCAACGCGGUCCGCCGCGUGCCUCAAAUCGUCCGGCUGGGUCUUCUGUCCCCUAAGCGUUGUGGAAACUAUUCGCUAAAGGGUGUUCGGGAGGCUACGCCGUAAAACAACCCCAUUUCUAAGGUUGACCUCGGAUCAGGUAGGGAUACCCGCUGAACUUAAGCAUAUCAAU
rnacentral:rRNA from 1 species